rnacentral:rRNA from 1 species
GAUGAACGCUGGCGGCGUGCUUAACACAUGCAAGUCGAACGGUGAAGGCGGAGCUUGCUCUGCUGGAUCAGUGGCGAACGGGUGAGUAACACGUGAGCAAUCUGCCCCUGACUCUGGGAUAAGCGCUGGAAACGGCGUCUAAUACUGGAUACGAGCUGCGAAGGCAUCUUCAGCAGCUGGAAAGAAUUUCGGUCAGGGAUGAGCUCGCGGCCUAUCAGCUUGUUGGUGAGGUAAUGGCUCACCAAGGCGUCGACGGGUAGCCGGCCUGAGAGGGUGACCGGCCACACUGGGACUGAGACACGGCCCAGACUCCUACGGGAGGCAGCAGUGGGGAAUAUUGCACAAUGGGCGAAAGCCCGAUGCAGCAACGCCGCGUGAGGGACGACGGCCUUCGGGUUGUAAACCUCUUUUAGCAGGGAAGAAGCGAAAGUGACGGUACCUGCAGAAAAAGCGCCGGCUAACUACGUG